ACUGUCGCACAGUGCGCCGCUCCGUGGAAGUAAACCCCCUUUUAUAACUCCCCACCAAUGAUCGACAAUCGACCAAUCACGAGAUCAUGUAAUCGAAAGGGUUUGCCAUUCGAGAAACCCUGAAUUUACGAGGGAUGAGUUCACUGAUCUGUGAUGAAGAUUUAAUGCAAUCGUUAUUGUUUAAUUAUCUCACUGAAAUAAAAUCAAGGAACUACUUUCUAUGCAUUGUACUCGUUGACGUCAGUAAUCAACACAAAAGAAUCGAUUACAGCCGAAAUAAUCAUGUCCUUAAGCCAAGAACGAAUAAGUACUAUUAUUACUUCGUAACCAAUUUGAAAUGUAUAAUAGUACUAAGAAUGGACUAAAUGCUUUAAAGUGUGUCGAAGAUUGGAUAUGAAUUUACAAGAUAAAUUCGGGGAUAACUUCGCGGGAAGAAAGCAGUGCAUUAUUCGAAUGGAGGGAAUAAGAACAAUGUUACAAAGAAGAAGAAAUGAUCGUGGAAAAAGAAGAAGAGGAAAUGGACGAGCCGGAUGGCGUGUUUCGACUGCGCACUAGCGUUAUCCGGCAAUUGCUGUUUUUUUACUCGCUUGAUUUCAAAUGAAGGGGUACCACCGGCGAACUACACAGUGAUGAAAGAUAUUCGAGCAAUAGACGUGUUUCCAAGCUGUCCCUUAGUCGGCGACACUCACGAGAAACCAUAGUUUGACUUUCAAAUCUAAGGGCGUCAUCUGCAUUUUCCUAAAUUUCAAUCAGUAUGAAAUAUUAACAAAAUAUAAUUAUGAAAUAAAAUUUGAAUAAUUCCAUUUUGUUACGUUUUUUUCAGUUAUAAAUAAAUUUGUUACACAAGACAAAUUGUUGUGCAAUAGAAAUUAAUAAAAACGACUAAAAGAAAAAAGGAUGUGAAACGUGACCACCGUCAGUAAGGCCAAGGGACCAACAUCUUUCCUUUUCAUAAGAGAAGAUUAUGUACUUUAAAAUUAAAUUGCUCAUUUUUUAUUACUCCGUAGCUCUAUAACUUUUAAAUGCUAUAAAAAUUGUAGUAUAUUUAAACAAACUUGGAUAAAAUUAUGAAAUUUCUAAUACUGAAAUAUUUUAGGGAGUUAAGUAGCUAUUUAAAGCGAUUCAGUAUGAAUGAGUCAAUGAUGAUUAUAUUAUUUGAAAACAAACCUCAUAUAGAGCGUCUAACGUUCCAUGGGAAGGUAUAUAGAUAAUUGAUAGUUAAGUAUUCAUCGGGUUGGAUUUACGUGCGCUAUAGCAUCACACAAACACGCUAGGCAUCGUCAUCCGAGUUAAAAGCGGCUCAACGUAGAGAUGCUACGUGAUUCCCUGCAACGUUAGAAAUUUCGGUGCCUUAUGAUUCGGAGAAUUUUUUUUAUAUCUAGUCCAUACAGUUCUCACGUAUAUAAAUACCGAGUAGUGGCCCGAUAUAAAUUUCACGACAAAAAAUUGCGUAAUUAACUCUUCUUAGUAAUUUCCUUUUCAUAUCAUAACGAUAGCCUUUCAUUGCUAAUUGUUAGUUAUCCAUUUGCUAUUUAUUAUUAAUCUAAUCUUCUCGGUAUAAACAAAAGACUUUCUGUAAUGAUAUUAUAUAUUUACCACAUAUUGUUUAAAUUAAAAAGCAUGUUCUAAAGAUAAUAAAAUAUUUUCGGAAACGUGAUUAGCAACAGGUUUCGGAAUUAGGUGAAGGAUUACGAAGCUUACAUACGCAUGAGGAUCAUCGCACGAGCUCGAAAGAAAAACAAAUCUGGACUCUUGCGUUAAAUGAUUCAAUAAUCAAUGAUACAGCGAGCUUUCACAGUUGCCAUAUGGUGCAUAGCAAUACUGAUCCAAGCUUCUUAUGAUCUAGAAACGAACAAUUAUGUAGUUAAGAAUCGCAAAUUCUAUUCCCAAAUCUUUUCUAAUUAUUUUCAAAAUACAUUUUAUAAAUUUAUAAUGAUAGGAAAAUUUAUAAGAAAUUCUAGCUGCACAAGGAUAAAGAUAAUUGCAGAAAGAAAUAUAAAAAUGAAUUUAUCUUCAUUAUUUUUUAGAUUCAACAUGUUAUAUUUAAAUUAAGAGGUUUCAAUUAUAUCAGGUAAAUCGAAUGACUAUCCAUCAAUGUAACUAUUAGCAGGUCAGAUAAAGACAAAAUUAUCAAGCUUUAUAUUAUUACAGCUGUAACGUAAGAUUAAAGGCUGUCGACCGCAAAAUAUUUGGCAAAGUACCACCCCCGAAGUGUGUAUUCCUUAAGCUUCAUUUAUUUUUGGAACGUCUUUACUGACACUAAAGAUGUUCCAUUUCGAUCAUAAUAUUAAUAGCAUGACUCAACAUUACAUGAAACAUAUGGACAUGCAUAAUAUUUGUGCAAAGUAUACUUUUUAACGCGAGAAUUGUAAUUAAUUUGUGAUUUAUUUGUAAAUUACCAAAAUUAAAGAUUCUCAACUUGCACCUCGCAAAUGCAUGUUUAUUUGGAGGGAAAGUAGUAGUUAGCCUUGCUAAUAAAUUUAUUAAUGAAUCAUAUAAGUAGGUCAGCAAAUGCAACAUAUACGUGCGUGAGAAGAUAGCACAUUAAUCAUAAAUUUUUAAGUCGGUUUGUGCAACUGGAAAACAAUCUUUGGUGUUUUCUUUUCUUCGUAAAAGCAGAAUUAAUUAAGCCAAAACAUUGUUUUUCAUAUUAUUUAUUGUUAAAGGAAAGAUCAUUAUUGUAAGAUGCUUACAAUUGGCAAAUUUAUUUUAUAAUUUAUACAUGACGUAUUACAUGAAAUCACAUUCAUCUCAAACUACAGUUCAGAUCGAAGAUAAUAAUGAAAAAAUAACGUAUAGAAAUAAACUAUGAAUAAUAUGA